rnacentral:misc_RNA from 1 species
GAUGAAGAACGUAGCGAAAUGCGAUAAGUAGUGUGAAUUGCAGAAAUCAGUGAAUCAUCGAAUCUUUGAACGCACAUUGCGCCUUCUAGUAUUCUGGGAGGCAUGCCUGUUUGAGCGUCAUUAAACCUCUCUCAAGUAUGAUUACUUGGAUGUGAAGGAAGAGUACCUUAAACUUAAGGAGUGUUCUCCUUUGAAAUUGAUUAGCAGAUGGUAAUGUUAUUAAAUCCCUGAUGUUGUAAGAAAUAACAGUGGUUUUGUAGACUAUUAUCUAGCUUUAAAUUAUAAUUUUUAUUAUGGUUGACCUCAAAUCAGGUAAGGAUACCCGCUGAACUUAAGCAUAUCAAUAAGCGGAGGA